rnacentral:lncRNA from 10 species
AGGCCCGACGCGGUGGCUCACGCCUGUAACCCCAACACUUUGGGAGGCCAAGGUGGGCAGAUCACAAGGUCAGGAGUUCAAGACCAGCCUGGCCAACAUGGUGAAACCCUGUCUUUACAAAAACACAAAGAAAUUAGCUGGUGUAGUGGCACGUGCCUCUAAUCCCAGCUACUCGGGAGUCUGAGGCAGAAUAAUCUCUUAAACCCGGGAGGCAGUUGUUGCAAUGAGCCGAGAUUGUGCCAUUGCACUCCAGCCUGGGCGACAGAGCGAGACUCCAUCUCAAAAAUAGUAAUAAUAAUAAUAGCUCUUUAAAACGAGAAAGACAGUAACAAGUGUUGGCAAAGAUACGGAGAAACUGGAGCCCUCAUACUCUGUCUCAAAAAAAAAAAUGUGAGUUUUAUAGUAUGUAAUAAUACCACAAUAGGCCAGGCACGGUGGCUCACGCCCGUAAUCCCAGCACUUUAGGAGGCCAAGGUGGGUGGAUCACCUAAGGUCAGGAAUUCCAGACCAACUUGGCCAACAUGACAAAACCCCAUCUCUACUAAAAACACAAAAAUUAGCGGGCUAUGGGGGCGAACGCCUGUAGUCCCAGCUACUCAGGAGGCUGAGGCAGGAGAAUCACUUGAACCGGAGAGGUGGAGUUUGCAGUAAGCCAAGAUCGUGCCACUGCACUCCAGCCUGGGCAACAGAGCAAGACUCUGUCUCAAAAAAAGGAAAUAUAAAAAAAGGCAGGAAAGGGGUGCUGCUAUCACCCCAUUUCACAGAUAGGGAGGCUGAGAGACUUGUCCCAGGUGAAGGAUGGGACUUGCACUCAUGUCCCACGGACUUCAAGACUCGCUGGGCUCCUUGCCCCAUAUUAGAGCAUUAAGGACCCGCCCUGCAAACACCCACUCUGUGCCAGCCACAGUGGUGGGUGCUCCACUAAGUAUCUUCCACUCAAGCCUCAGCCUGAGAAUUGUCAUUGCCAAUUAGAGAUGAAGACAUGAGGCCCAGGGGGGAUGACUUAGUGCACAGCUGGUGCACAACCUAGACCUGAACCUCCAUCUUUGCACUAUCCAGCCCGAGUGAGCCUUCCACUUGGAGUUGCCUCCUCAGAAUGCCUCCCUCGUCCUCUGCACCCCCAGUGACUUUCCCUGCCUUCGCCUGCUCUGCACUGGGUCCCUUUCAAGGUCCCAGACACCACUGGAUCAGUGUCUCCCUCCUACCAAGCAGGGAGCUCCUCUCAGGCAGUGAGGCCCCUGUGCCCAUGGCCCAGCCCUUACUGGGUACCAGCUGGGAUCUGCAGAGUAGGCAGUUGAAUGAACAAAUGAGUGAGUGGGUGGAGGAAGUUCAUUGAUUCACUCAACAAAUGUUUUCUCGGCCGGGUGCAGUGGCUCACGCCUGUAAUCCCAGCACUUUGGGAGGCCAAGGCAGGUGGAUUGCUUGAGGUCAGGAGUUUGAGACCAGCCUGACCAACAUGGUGAAACCCUGUCUCUACUAAAAAUACAAAAAGAUUACCCCAGCAUGGUGGUGCACACCUGUAGCCCUAGUUACUUGGGAGGCUGAGGCAGGAGAAUUGCUGGAACCCGGGAGGCAGAGGUUGCGGUGAGCCGAGAUCGUGACACUGCACUCCAGGCUGGGCGACAGAGUGAGACUCUGUCUCAAAAAAACAAAGCAAAACAAAACAAACAAUGUUUACUGAGUGGCCACUGUGAAGCAGAUGCUGUGGUGCUAGCCAGGGACACAGCACUGACCAAAAACAGACCCAAACCUCCUGGCCUCAGGAGCUCUAGUUCAAGGGAAGGGAGGAGAGGAUCAAAGGGAAGGCCACUGGGCCCCACACCUCCAGUUCCUUUUCCCCGUGGCCUCCCACAUCCCCUACCAUCACAAGAGGCCCACACUGGGACCUCCACCUCUGAGGGCUGACAUGGAGCCUUAACUAUCAGUCACACACAGGACAAGACUGGCUGGGGCCCAUAACUGGGCUCUAGAACCACAGGGCCAGGCACCACUCUGGGGAUGGUCUGUCCACUGCAUUUCAAUAAAGGCAGCAGCAUGCUUUUCAGAUAGAGAAGCCCCUUGGUUUACUCUCUGGGCAGGGUGACAAAGUGUGGCCUCACGACUCUGGGAGGAAUCCUAAUAAAGAAACAUGGUAGGCCGGG